ACCACUAAUGACAUGACCUGUUUCCCUUCAGUGAUUCAAAUGGACUUAUUCUUCAUUGGAUUCGUCUUGCUUUGGUGGUUUCUGUGGACUCAGCUGUUCCCGCGUGGCGAUUACAAUGGACUUUCGUUGUUACACUUGCUCCCCCCUCUUUCCUCUGUGGACUAUAACUGGAGCCCCGAGUCGACCAGAACUUCGGAGACUCCCCCGACACGACAGACGGAUCCCCAUCGUCCGGACCACUGAGGAUCUCGCCUGUGUUGAAGAACUCCGAGGGACAUGAAGACCACCUAAUCCAUGAUCAAACUGGCUUGGACAACCUGGCUGCGACAGUGGAACCCUCCUAAAAAACGGGUGCCAAGAGACAUUAACUGGUGUUGUGGGAACAGAAUUGGGAAUCAGUUCAGAGGUAUUAAUGAAUAAAUUGGCUUCUCCGACUAGAGAUUUGACCAAAAUACAGCAACCACUGCAGUCGUCCUUAUCGGCCUUGGGAACACAUCAGUGCUUGCUAUCAAACAUUCUACCAAAUUGGGAAAAGAUAAAUGUGAAGGAUAAAAAAUUGAUCCUUGAUGCACUUAAUGCCACACAAAGCAAUGUUUCCUUAGCUCUUAGCUGUAUCCAGGCUCAAUUAUGGAUGCAGUCAGUUGCUGCCUCAAU